GGGCCUCUAGCUCAAUUGGUAGAGCAUCAGACUCUUAAUCUGCAGGUUUCGGGUUCAAGUCCCGAGGGGCCCA
rfam:Nesterenkonia sp. AN1 contig-19, whole genome shotgun sequence.